CACGGGGGGAGCAAGCGUUGUUCGGAAUCACUGGGCGUAAAGGGCGUGUAGGCGGUCAAGUAAGUGGGAUGUGAAACGCCCCGGCUCACCCGGGGACCUGCAUCCCAAACUGCUUGGCUUGAGUAUGGGAGAGGAUGAGGGAAUUCCUGGUGUAGCGGUGAAAUGCGUAGAUAUCAGGAGGAACACCGGUGGCGAAAGCGCUCAUCUGGCCCAAUACUGACGCUGAGGCGCGAAAGCUAGGGGAGCAAACGGG
rnacentral:rRNA from 1 species